CUGUUUGCACACAGCAAUUCAGUUGGCUACGAAUUGCCAUGUUUAAACACACUGCAUCUAGAGGAUCUUCCGAUGCUGAAAAGCAUAGGCGUCAAUUUGCCAUCACUAGGAGAGAGAUGUAUUUUUGAAUGCCCAAAUUUGAAAUUUGACGGGACGAUUGGUGAUCAUAACUGACUCAACAUAUGUGCUUCGAUGGCUUCAGGUGUUUAGCAUGGUAACUGCUUUGGUCCAAAAAGAAAUUAUAGAUCCGAUUUUUGAUCCACGUAGUUCACAUGAGAAGAAAUGAAGAUGGGAUCCACAGGGCAAUGGAUGAAUGGAGGAAAGCUGAAGAGCUUUCUUGCACGUCAAAAAGCAGCUGAAUGAAAAGGAAGAACAGGCCAAAGAGGAUCAGAGGUAUUACAAGGUACAAUUGAUUGUGGAUGAUUCAGUUUACGUACAUUUCUUUAGUUUAAAGCUUUUGGUUUUAAUUAUGUUUUUAGUUUCAUAAAGAAAAAUGGUGAGAAUCUUGUUUCUGGAGUUGUUAGUCUUUAUCAACUUUUCUUAAACCUCAUUGAAUCAAGGAAGCCUUUGGUGGA